CCCAGAGGUAUUGAUGGGUGUGAAAACGGGCACUGCUCCGGCAAGGCCAAUCGUUAUUACACCAACCCACGCAGAUGCGUGGGUUUUUUUU
rfam:Pantoea ananatis LMG 20103, complete genome.